GACGAACGCUGGCGGCGUGCUUAACACAUGCAAGUCGAACGAUGAAGCCGGAGCUUGCUCUGGUGAAUUAGUGGCGAACGGGUGAGUAACACGUGAGUAACCUGCCCUUGACUCUGGGAUAACUGCGGGAAACUGUAGCUAAAACCGGAUACGACCCUCGGAGGCAUCUCCAGGGGGUGGAAAGAAUUUCGGUCAAGGAUGGACUCGCGGCCUAUCAGCUAGUUGGUGAGGUAAUGGCUCACCAAGGCGACGACGGGUAGCCGGCCUGAGAGGGUGACCGGCCACACUGGGACUGAGACACGGCCCAGACUCCUACGGGAGGCAGCAGUGGGGAAUAUUGCACAAUGGGCGCAAGCCUGAUGCAGCAACGCCGCGUGAGGGAUGACGGCCUUCGGGUUGUAAACCUCUUUUAGUAGGGAAGAAGCGAAAGUGACGGUACCUAACCAGAAAGCCACGGCUAACUACGUGCCAGCCGCCGCCGUAA
rnacentral:rRNA from 1 species